rnacentral:rRNA from 1 species
UACGGAGGGGGCGAGCGUUAUUCGGAAUUAUUGGGCGUAAAGGGCGCGUAGGCGGCUUGAUGUGUCAAAGGUGAAAUCCCUCGGCUCAACUGAGGAACUGCCUUUGAAACUGUCUGGCUUGAGGCCGGGAGAGGGUAGCGGAAUUCCCAGUGUAGCGGUGAAAUGCGUAGAUAUUGGGAGGAACACCAGUGGCGAAGGCAGCCUUCUGGGCCAACACUGACGCUCAUGCACGAAAGCGUGGGGAGCAAACAGG